CGUUCACAGAUAUUCAUUUUCUAUCAUAUAUGUAUCCUUAUGAUGUAUAUUUGUUGUUUGGUAUCAGUUGGAAUAGUUUCUGCUUUAAUUAAGGAUGCUUUUCUUUGCAUAAGAAAUGGUACCCCGUGUUGCGCAGAUUUUUACAAUGACAAUGGAGUGUGCAAAGAAUGUCCUGUAGGAUAUUUCGGACCCAACUGUACCUACAAAUGUCCAUAUCCUAGGUAUGGACGCCGAUGUGUGCAGGGAAAUUGUACUUGCUCUAAAGAGGAAUGCAACUUCGCAGUUGGUUGUGGCAAGUCAGAUUAAAUCA